rnacentral:lncRNA from 1 species
UCUGCACACAACAAGCGCUCAAUAAAGACGAUUGAAUGAAUGAAUGAAUGAAAGGCCGCGGGCUGGGGGUGGGUGGGGUGGCGAUGGGGCGCGUUCGUGACGCCAGGGGGCGCCCUCGACUCGAAGCGCAAACGGGGCCCCCGGCGCAGCCCCGCGGCUGAGCGUUGUAGCAAGCGAGGUGGGCGGGCAGGCGAGGAGGAGGGGAGGCGGUGCUGCGGCCGGCCGAUGGAGCGGCUCAGCAUGUCGUCCCUAAGGAGGAGGGGCUACCACCGUUCGGGCCGCCGGGGCAGAAAGUCCGGGAGCAAGCCGGCGCCUCAGCCCCGGGAGGAGCUGAAGCCUCCGCGCCCGGUUCCGGCCGGUUGGGGAGCAGCGGUGCUGCUUGGCCCCAGGUCGCGGGAAUCGACGGCAUCUUGGGCCCGGCCCAUGGCCCUGCCCACACCCAGCUCACUGCAGAUUUUCCUCUGUCUCUGGUCUGAAUCUGACAAGAACUCAUCAGUAACUGGGGAUUGAUUGGAGCAUACUUUUUUUGUGAGUACGUUUUGUUUCAUGAAACCCUAAGCAUAUUGUUUAAUUGAUAGAAGGGCAUGUGGUGGACUUAAAUGGAGAAUUUUUCCAAAAGCUAAGACUUAUAAAACAAACUCCAUACAUCACUCCACUGCCCAGAUUAUCUUUCUAAAGAAAUGUUCUGGGCAUGUCACCCCCCCUUCUCAAAAAUCUCCAUGGUUGCCUAUCCACCUUCUUAUCAAAGAAAAACUGAUCACUAUUGGCUUUAAAGCUCUCCAUCACCGUGCCCCCUUCUACCUCACUUCUCUCCUUCUACAUCCCAGCCCGCACCCUCUACUACCCUGGUGCUAACCUUCUCACUGUGCCUCCAUCUCACCUGUCCCGCCGUCGACUCCUGGCCCAUGUCCUACUUCUGGCCUGGAAUGCCCUCCCUCCUCACAUCCACCAGACAAUCACUCUCCCCCUACUCUUCAAAGCCCAACUGAAGGCGCACCUCCUCCAAGAGGCCUUCCCAGACUAAGCCCCCCUUUCGGUCAGCUCCCCCCCUUCCGUGUCUUCCACCCUUUGCUCUUCCCCCCUCCCUGCCCCACAGCACUUAUAUAUCUAUAAUUUUGUAUUGAUGUCUGUUUACUUGUAUUGAUGUCUGUCUCCCCCCCCCCCCCCGCACCCAGACUGUGAACCCGUUGUGGGCAGGGAUUGUCUCUAUUGCUGUAUUUGUACUUUCC